UACGUAGGGUGCAAGCGUUAAUCGGAAUUACUGGGCGUAAAGCGUGCGCAGGCGGUUUUGUAAGACCGAUGUGAAAUCCCCGGGCUUAACCUGGGAACUGCAUUGGUGACUGCAAGGCUUGAGUGUGUCAGAGGGAGGUGGAAUUCCGCGUGUAGCAGUGAAAUGCGUAGAUAUGCGGAGGAACACCGAUGGCGAAGGCGGAUCUCUGGGCCUGUCCUGACGCUCAGGCGCGAAAGCUAGGGGAGCAAACAGG
rnacentral:rRNA from 1 species